rnacentral:rRNA from 1 species
AUUGAACGCUGGCAGCAGGCUUAACACAUGCAAGUCGAGCGGGGGAAGGUAGCUUGCUACCGGACCUAGCGGCGGACGGGUGAGUAACGCUUAGGAAUCUGCCUAUUAGUGGGGGACAACAUCUCGAAAGGGAUGCUAAUACCGCAUACGUCCUACGGGAGAAAGCAGGGGAUCUUCGGACCUUGCGCUAAUAGAUGAGCCUAAGUCGGAUUAGCUAGUUGAUGGGGUAAAGGCCUACCAAGGCGACGAUCUGUAGCGGGUCUGAGAGGAUGAUCCGCCACACUGGGACUGAGACACGGCCCAGACUCCUACGGGAGGCAGCAGUGGGGAAUAUUGGACAAUGGGGGGAACCCUGAUCCAGCCAUGCCGCGUGUGUGAAGAAGGCCUUAUGGUUGUAAAGCACUUUAAGCGAGGAGGAGGCUACUUUAGUUAAUACCUAGAGAUAGUGGACGUUACUCGCAGAAUAAGCACCGGCUAACUCUGUGCCAGCAGCCGCCGUAA